GUGCUCAAUUCGACAGCACAUAUGCUAAAAUUGGAAUGAUUCAGAGAAGAUUAGCAUGGCCCCUGCGCAAGGAUGAGACACGCAUAUUCAUGAAGAGUUACAUAUUUUU
rnacentral:snRNA from 1 species